GGGAGCCUAAUACCCGAUACGGUGCGACGAUGGCAUCAGAACUGCACCAAAGAUUUUAUCGGCGUGGGAUGGGGAUGCGUCUGAUUAGCUUGCCGCGGGGUAACGGCCCACCGGGGCUACGAUCAGUAGGGGUUCUGAGAGGAAGGUCCCCCACACUGGUACUGAGACACGGACCAGACUCCUACGGGAGGCAGCAGUGAGGAAUAUUGGUCAAUGGGCGGGAGCCUGAACCAGCCAAGUAGCGUGCAGGACGACGGCCCUACGGGUUGUAAACUGCUUUUAUGAGGGGAUAAAGUGGGCUACGUGUAGCUUAUUGCAGGUACCUCAUGAAUAAGGACCGGCUAAUUCCGUGCC
rnacentral:rRNA from 1 species